rnacentral:rRNA from 1 species
CAAGGAAUUUUCGGCAAUGGGCGCAAGCCUGACCGAGCAACGCCGCGUGGAGGACGACGGCCUUCGGGUUGUAAACUCCUUUUGCGGGGGAUGACAGCGACACUACCCCGCGAAUCAGGCUCGGCUAACUCUGUGCCAGCAGCCGCGGUAAGACAGAGGAGCCAAGCGUUGUCCGGACUGACUGGGCGUAAAGCGCACGCAGGCGGUUGCGGGCGUCGGUGCUGAAAGUCCACCGCUUAACGGUGGGCCGCGUGCCGAUACGCCGCAGCUGGAGCGAUGCAGAGGCCCGUGGAAUUGCCGGUGUAGUGGUGAAAUGCGUAGAGAUCGGCAGGAACACCCAAGGGGAAGCCAGCGGGCUGGGCAUCGGCUGACGCUGAGGUGCGACAGCGUGGGGAGCGAACUGGAUUAGAUACCCAGGUAGUCCACGCCGUAAACGAUGGACGCUCGGCACCUGGUGGGUAACCAGUCCCGCUGGGCGCCUUAGCCAAC